CCCCAGAUGUUGCUGAACUACAACUCCCAUGAUUCUCUGACUAUGUAAUUCAAAGAAUCAUGGGAGUUGUAGUUCAGCAACAUCUGGGG
rnacentral:miRNA from 1 species